rnacentral:tRNA from 1 species
GCCUUCGUGGUGUAAUGGUAACACACUCGCGUGUAUUCGAGAGGUCCAAGUUAGAGUCCCGGCGAGGGCA